AGACAGGAUGAGAGGAAGAUAAGGCUAAAGACAGAGGCUCCAGCUACCUUGGUGACAAGGAAUGGAGGAGAAAAUGAACAGGAAAUUUUAAUAAGAUUAGGAGGGCUUGCUUUUCUGCCAAGUGAGCCGCUUUCACAGGAGCGAUAAAUUGGAAAUGUUAUCUGGCUUGAUACGCCAGUUUUUCUGAGAAAAUCACUCUGCCAGUGGUGAGAGAAUGGAAGAGCUGAAAACAUCUUCUUUUUUCAAAGUCAUAUGUCACAAACCUAGGAGACUCCAAAAAAUAAAUUAUGGAAUAUUAUGACCACUGCUGCCAAGGAUACGGUGAAAUAGAGUUUGUGGCAUCUGGUUUUAACUCCAACAUGUAAAGAGCUUGGAAGCCAUCUUUCCUUCCACCACAAGAAAACAGCUGAACUGAAAAUCAAUGACUUUUCUUAGAUCCAUUACAGAAUUGAGAUUGCAGGACACACUACCACCCUGAAAACUGGAGAUAGGCAAAUACAGAGAGGAAGCAGAUCAGCUUACCUGAAGCAGAGGCCGCUGGAAUCAGUGACAGGUCUGAGGAAGUUCUUGAGAUAAACUUUGUGAGUGGUCCACUAUUUCUGCAUUUCACUCCAAACUUUGUUCUACUCAUUGUUCAAUUCAAUGCCUUGAACCUGGCUUAUAAUAGAUGCUGAAUAAAUGAGUUAUAAUUGAGAA